rnacentral:rRNA from 1 species
AGGGCACCACCAGGAGUGGAGCCUGCGGCUUAAUUUGACUCAACACGGGAAAACUCACCCGGCCCGGACACUGGAAGGAUUGACAGAUUGAGAGCUCUUUCUUGAUUCAGUGGGUGGUGGUGCAUGGCCGUUCUUAGUUGGUGGAGUGAUUUGUCUGGUUAAUUCCGAUAACGAACGAGACUCUAGCCUACUAAAUAGAUCGUCGGCUUACAAACGCCGGCGAGACUUCUUAGAGGGACAGGCGGUGAUUCAACCGCACGAAACAGAGCAAUAACAGGUCUGUGAUGCCCUUAGAUGUCCGGGGCCGCACGCGCGCUACACUGAAGUGAUCAGCGUGCUUUUUCAACCUACUCUGUCAAGAGUGGGGAACCCAAUGAACCUUCUUCGCGAUUGGGAUAGGGGAUUGUAAUUAUUCCCCUUGAACGAGGAAUUCCCAGUAAGCGCGAGUCAUAAGCUCGCGUUGAUUACGUCCCUGCCCUUUGUACACACCGCCCGUCGCUACUACCGAUUGAAUGUUUU